GACGAACGCUGGCGGCGUGCCUAAUACAUGCAAGUAGAACGCACAGUUUAUACCGUAGCUUGCUACACCAUAGACUGUGAGUUGCGAACGGGUGAGUAACGCGUAGGUAACCUGCCUGGUAGCGGGGGAUAACUAUUGGAAACGAUAGCUAAUACCGCAUAAUAUUAAUUAUUGCAUGAUAAUUAAUUGAAAGGUGCAAUUUCACCACUACCAGAUGGACCUGCGUUGUAUUAGCUAGUAGGUGAGGUAACGGCUCACCUAGGCGACGAUACAUAGCCGACCUGAGAGGGUGAUCGGCCACACUGGGACUGAGACACGGCCCAGACUCCUACGGGAGGCAGCAGUAGGGAAUCUUCGGCAAUGGACGAAAGUCUGACCGAGCAACGCCGCGUGAGUGAAGAAGGUUUUCGGAUCGUAAAGCUCUGUUGUAAGAGAAGAACGGGUGUGAGAGUGGAAAGUUCACACUGUGACGGUAUCUUACCAGAAAGGGACGGCUAACUACGU
rnacentral:rRNA from 1 species